GUGGUGGCAAGCGUUGUCCGGAAUUAUUGGGCGUAAAGCGCGCGCAGGCGGUUCUUUAAGUCUGAUGUGAAAGCCCACGGCUCAACCGUGGAGGGUCAUUGGAAACUGGAGAACUUGAGUACAGAAGAGGAAAGCGGAAUUCCACGUGUAGCGGUGAAAUGCGUAGAGAUGUGGAGGAACACCAGUGGCGAAGGCGGCUUUCUGGUCUGUAACUGACGCUGAGGCGCGAAAGCGUGGGGAGCAAACAGGAUUAGAUACCCUGGUAGUCCACGCCGUAAACGAUGAGUGCUAAGUGUUAGGGGGUUUCCGCCCCCCUUAGUGCUGCAGCUAACGCAUUAAGCACUCCGCCUGGGAGUACGGCCGCAAGGCUG
rnacentral:rRNA from 1 species